UCUCGAUAGCAUUUGCUAUCGUAGAUAAAGAGAACAUGGAGUUUUGAGAAUUUUUUCUUACAAAUCUGCGGAGGUAUGUUAUUAGGAACGAUAACAUUUGCAUCAUCUCCGAUAAAGGGAAGGGUUUAAUUACAGUUAUUAGGCGUUCCGGUGUGUCGUGAAGAUCUAUUUACUGCAUUCGUCAUAUUGCGUCUAACUUCCAUAAAGAUUAUAAGAAUGCAGACUGGAAGAGACAAGUCGUGGCAAUGGCGUACGAGUUAGAGUUACAUAUUUUUCAGCAAAGAAUGAUCCGACUUGAAAGUAACAUGGAGGGGCAGACGAACACAUCUUUCCGACAAUGGUUGCGCACAAUAGAGUCGUGGCAGUUGACUCAAAGUUUUGACGAGAGCUUUCGUUAUGGCCACAUUGCCACAGAAAUAGAAUAGAUGUCAUGAAUAUUAGAAUAGCGUCUUACCCAUUCCCGGGCAUGCAGUUCAAUCCUAAGGCGGUAUAUUGGGACAUCACACGACUUCCCGAUGCCUAGACGGGUCGUCCACCUAAAUAAAACAGUAUAGGGUUUAGGGUUGGUAACAUUACUUAACAUAUUAUUACUACAAAUAAUGACAAUUUAUAUUUUAUCA